rnacentral:tRNA from 1 species
GGUGGCUCAGUAGUAGAGUGCUUGCCUUGCAUGCAUGAGGUCCUGGGUUUGAUCCCUCAGCACCA